rnacentral:rRNA from 1 species
AGACGUAGGGGGCAAGCGUUACCCGGAAUCACUGGGCGUAAAGGGAGCGUAGGCGGUUUAUCAGGUCAUGAGUGAAAGACUCCGGCUCAACCGGAGAGGUGCUUAUGAAACCGAUAAACUUGAGGAUAUCAGAGGAAAAGGGAAUUACCAUUGUAGGGGUGAAAUCCGUAGAGAGUGGUAAGAAUGCCGGUGGCGAAGGCGCUUUUCCGGGGUAUACCUGACGCUGAGGCUCGAAAGCCAGGGGAGCGAACCGGAUUAGAUACCCGGGUAGUCCUGGCCGUAAACGAUGUUCACUAGGUGUAGGAUGUCGACAGGCAAACUGUGCUGAAGCAAACGCGAUAAGUGAACCGCCUGGGGAGUACGUCCGCAAGGAUGAA